GAGUACCGGCUAGUAUCGCGAGAUCAGGAAGGUGGCCGAGUGUUUCGCCGCGGCCAUCAGGGGGGUUAUAGCCAUAUGACUGAUCUUUGUCCAAGAAUAUGUAAAGCAAAAGUGUUGAGUUGGCUUUUAGGGCUAGAGCAAUGUAUCUUAGGCUCACUUAAGGAAGCUGUAGAGAUGAGCCCAAGGAGGGAAACCAGAAGAGCCCCCCAGGCUCGCCAGUUGUUUGUUGGCUCCCUACAAACAUGUCAUUCAAGUGGCUAAUCUUACAACAGCACAAAUUCAUCUAACCAGAAAGAGAAGAGGAGGCUCCAAAGGCACUUGACUACUGAGCAUCACCCUGGACGUGUACAAGUCUGCGUCCUUAUUGUUUUCUUCAUUGGGCCGAACUUUCUGGUCCUCAUCCAACAGCUCUUCUAUCACGUGUUCGAAAGUGUCAGCCAACGAUGUCAAGCCUCUUGAACCUGCCUUGGGCCCAUUCACGCUCUCCAGAGUCCCAUGGGUCCGCACACCUGGAGAUACUCUAUUAUAGCAAAGAAGAAAGAUAAUUUCAUUGAGCCAUCCUGUUUUACAGCACCCAACAGAAUCCCUUCAAAGCCUGGUGGUCUGACACCCUAUGCUACGUGACUCGUGACCCAUCCAUUUGUCAUGUUGUUUGGGAAUGUGGCUAAGGGGCUGAGAUGUGACUUGAAAAGAAAGGUAGAACCAGAUCAUCUCAAAUUUAUUAUCAAGGAAUAGUUCAGACAACGACUUCCGACCACAGAGACAGCAGAACAGAUGGUCCGACAUGGAUAGAGCAUCAGACACUCACAGACUGUGCCAACAAGAGCCAUCGAGUCAAAACCGCCAAAGGAAGGAGGGUCAUGGAAUGGGUUCUCUCACACCAAACUGAUGCCCAGAGGCCCUUGGCAUGAAUAACAAAGGCAACCAGACCCACAAGCCAUACUGAGUGGAUACAAAACCUAUACCUAGGCUG
rnacentral:antisense_RNA from 1 species